rnacentral:rRNA from 1 species
GUCCAGACUCCUACGGGAGGCAGCAGUGGGGGAUACUGCACAAUGGGGGGAACCCUGAUGCAGCGACGCCGCGUGGGUGAAGAAGCGCCUCGGCGCGUAAAGCCCUGUCAGCAGGGAAGAAAAUGACGGUACCUGAAGAAGAAGCCCCGGCUAACUACGUGCCAGCAGCCGCGGUAAUACGUAGGUGGCGAGCGUUGUCCGGAUUUAUUGGGUUUAAAGGGUGCGUAGGCGGAAUGCCAAGUCAGCGGUAAAUUCGGGGGGCUCAACCUCGCUCCGCCGUUGAAACUGGCGUUCUUGAGUGGGCGAGAAGUAUGCGGAAUGCGUGGUGUAGCGGUGAAAUGCAUAGAUAUCACGCAGAACUCCGAUUGCGAAGGCAGCAUACCGGCGCCCAACUGACGCUGAAGCACGAAAGCGUGGGUAUCGAACAGGAUUAGAUACCCCAGUA